UACGUAGGUGGCAAGCGUUGUCCGGAUUUACUGGGCGUAAAGAGCGCGCAGGCGGUCGAGUAAGUCGAAUGUGAAAGCCCCGGCUUAACUGGGGAGGGUCAUUCGAUACUGUUCGACUUGAAGGCAGGAGAGGGCAGCAGAAUUCCCGGUGUAGUGGUGAAAUGCGUAGAUAUCGGGAGGAACACCAAUGGCGAAGGCAGCUCGCUGGGACGUUACUGACGCUGAGACGCGAAAGCGUGGGGAGCAACAGGG
rnacentral:rRNA from 1 species